CUCCACGGCAGAAGACUACACGGCGCCCCACCUGGUCCAGAGGCUCUGAACUUCGAGAAGUGGCAUCCAUUCCCCUCACGAAGGUCUCAAGCAAGGGAUUCUCCAGAACCGUUGCCGGGAUCUGGAGGGACUGGAAGCUGUUGCUGCAGAAGUCUGAAACUUGAUGAAGUCUGGAAACUGCUGCUGACCCAUUGUUCUUGCCUCAUGCCAGGUGGCAUGAGGCCUGGACUUGCCCAGUUCUUGGAAAGAAAGAUUUAGGCCUAGUCUCCUGAACUGCCAAUUUGAAGCCUGUCAUUAAGUCAACCUAGCCUUCUCAUUACUUUAAUGACAAUAUAUUUCAUUUAGAUCUUUGUGCUAGGAUAACAACACAUUAAGAUAAUCCUUUUGGUCAAGAAAAUAAAAUACCUGGCCUAGAUAAAAGCCUAACAUUCCAGUUGGGCAAGAGCAAGCUUAGCUAAGAGACCACCUCUAGAAAGGUAGGCUCACCUUUGUUUGUUUGUUUGUUUUUUCUAGAUAUGGUUUCUCUGUAUAGUGCUGACUGUCCUGGAACUCACCCUGUAUUACCAGGCUGGCCUUGAACUCAGAAAUCUGCCUGCCUCCCAACUGAUGGGCUCAAAGGUGUGUGCCACCACUACCUGUCAGAUAGGUUCAUGUUAAGCCAUGAUAAAGAGAUAGGUAGAAAAAUUAUUACUUAAAUGAGAUACUGUUCUUUUUUUUUCUUCCCAAAAUUUCUACCACCUCUACUGUAGUCUUUUGAAGAGUACAGCUAUGUUGAUUUGUAAGUCGCCAACUUUUCUGAAGCACACACUAAAGGAUAACUUCAUUUUC